GCACCGGUGGUGCAUGGUGCACGCUGCGUUUCAAUGUGGGUUCGGACGCCAUUUCAGGCAGACCGGGGUUCGAUUCCCCGCCUGUAUU